CAGCAUGUUUUUGGGUCAAACAAGAGUCUCCGCAUCCAUCAGGCCUCCCACAACAGCACCAACAGUGUGACCUUCAACUGUAAAAUCAACAUGCAGGAUCUGUGUCGCUGAAGAAAACCUUCACAGACAGAAGCAUGGGAGGAUACAUAUCACCUGGUCUCAGCACAAUGUUACUGCCCAGAGCCUCUGGAACAUCAGUGGACGCCAUCUUCCUGGAGAGAGAGAAAGAAAAAAUCACCUAUGUGUCCUUCAUUUAAUCAUUCUGCGCAACCACUUCCUGUAUCCUGGUUGCACUGUCUCCAUAUGUCCUGCUCAGCAUGGAGAGAGGACUUCUUUGUGCACAAUGAGGAGGAGUCUGCCGCUUGGCUUCCAGUAGCUGUUUGGUUGGCCACCGCCUUCACCACGCUCCCCCCUCCUCCUCCUCCUCCUCCUCUUCUUCCUCCUCCUCCCAUCAUCUGCAGCAGCAGCAGCAGCAGCAAGCAGCCCAG